GACGAACGCUGGCGGCGUGCUUAACACAUGCAAGUCGAACGGAGUGGCGAACGGGUGAGUAACACGUGGGUGAUCUGCCUUGCACUUCGGGAUAAGCUUGGGAAACUGGGUCUAAUACCGGAUAGUGCAAGAUGAGCUCGCGGCCUAUCGGCUUGUUGGGGGGGUAAUGGCCUACCAAGGCGUCGCCGGGUAGCCGGCCUGAGAGGGUGUACGGCAAAAUUGGGGCUGAGAGACGGGCCAGAGGCCUACGGGAGGGAGCAGUGGGGAAGAGUGAACAAUGGGCGGAAGCCUGAUGCAGCGACGCCGGGGGGGGGAUGAAGGCCUUCGGGUUGUAAACUCCUGUCGACAGGGACGCGGUACCUGUAUAAGAAGCACCGGCUAACUACGUGCCAGCAGCCGCGGUAAUUC
rnacentral:rRNA from 1 species